AUAUUGCGGUGUUUGUAAAUUUUUAGUUUGUGAAAGUUAUUGAGGUUAUGUUGUCUUUCCCAGAUUUUCACGUAACUGAACUGAAAGAAAACUGUAGGUAAUUAAUCAGUUUAUUGAUUAUGGUUCUGUUUCACAGUUUCCAAGUUUAGUAGCAGCUAACUUCUCAUUCAUUGUGUUAGAUAACUCACAAUCACUCAUGAUUGAUUAGACUAGUACCGUAAUAUUAAAAUUUGAUUACUUAUCAGGCUUGCUUUUACUCUGACAGUAAACAUACACAACUUUUCAAGUUGUAGUCUACUUCCGAAGAAAAAUGGCAUCAAGAUUGAGAUCUCCAGUCAAGUCUGUAUCCAAACUGUCGGCAGAUUCUCCACUCGCAGAAGUGAAUAUGACAAUUUUUUAAAAUCAAGAUGAUCGUCGUUUUUCCGCAAAGACAAAAAGGCGAAGUUGUGGCGUGCACUGAAGAGAAUCGCACCGGACCCUUUGUCCAAAUUGAAGAAAGAUACUGAAGACUUUAUCAGUUACUUGGCUAAAGAGACAAUUGCUUUGGUGGUAGAGUACGCUCGACUUGUGCAGCAAGACAAGUCCGUGACUCCUGCAGAUCCGUUCCGUAGAGCAAGAAUGAUGGACAAAAUACCAGCAAUUACCCCAGAAGAGGUCAAAGAGGUCGCCCGUCGCUUUUUCUCCAAUCAGCUUUCGCCUUUCGGAACUGACACAAGAUCCACGACCUGCCACUUCAAUAAAAAGCUAAUGGCUUGCUAAGUCAAGUCCCACUUUAUUACCGCUUUCAGUAUUAUAUAUUAUAAAUAUUGUGUCUUUGUUACCACUUUCAGUAUUAUAUAUUAUAAACAUUGUGAUGUUAUGUUAUUGUGAAUUUUACAAUUAAGUCAAUUGAAAAAUAUUUUCGAUGAGUUCAAUUUUGAUAUUUGAUCAAUCAGAUCAUUCACUGAUAUUUUAUUGUAUAUUUUAUUGCAUUUUUUUUAAUUGGGAAAAUUACUAACAAUAUUUAUUUUUUUGUAAGUUUUCUUCAUUUCUAAUCCAUUCUAAUUUCAACUCCAGUGCCUGUUGAAUAAGAAUUUAGUUCUAUAUUUAUUUAUGAAAGAGGCUUACACAUAACUGACCUGGAUAUUAAUUGGCACAAUUUUUACAAUUUUUGGCACAUUAUUCGUCCCAAAUUCACUUACAAGACUUUUAAACUUGUAUGACACACUCCGAUUGUAUUUUGAAUGUCUCAACGUUUUUGCAGUAUAUUUUUAUUCCUUUUCUUUUAAUUCGUUCUAAUAUUCAGAUUUUCAUCAAAUUUGGUUUGCUCUUAAGCCAAAAAUUUACAAACUUGGUGGAAUACCAAGUUAAUAUUGCAUCAGAUAUACCAGUAUCAACUCUUCUCUAUAGAAGGCAUUAUCAAGGCAGAGAAUCAACAUCGCUGUUCUCCUGUCUUUCACCACUGCCAUUUUAAUGUGAACCUCUCUCAUGACGGAACAGUGGUGAAUUGAAACCCGCCAAACACAAAUCGAGUUUGUGCUAUAAUCAAGUAGCACUG
rnacentral:misc_RNA from 1 species